rnacentral:rRNA from 2 species
GAAAGGGGGGGACCUUCGGGCCUCGCGCGGUUGGACGAACCGAUGUUCGAUUAGCUAGUUGGUAGGGUAAUGGCCUACCAAGGCGACGAUCGAUAGCUGGUCUGAGAGGAUGAUCAGCCACACUGGAACUGAGACACGGUCCAGACUCCUACGGGAGGCAGCAGUGGGGAAUAUUGGACAAUGGGCGCAAGCCUGAUCCAGCAAUGCCGCGUGUGUGAAGAAGGCCUUCGGGUUGUAAAGCACUUUUAUCAGGAGCGAAACGCUGUCGAUUAAUACUCGGCGGAACUGACGGUACCUGAAGAAUAAGCACCGGCUAACUUCGUGCCAGCAGCCGCGGUAAUACGAAGGGUGCAAGCGUUAAUCGGAAUUACUGGGCGUAAAGCGUGCGUAGGCGGUGAGUUAAGUCUGUCGUGAAAUCCCCGGGCUCAACCUGGGAAUGGCGAUGGAUAC